rnacentral:rRNA from 2 species
AGAGUUUGAUCCUGGCUCAGGAUGAACGCUAGCGGCAGGCUUAACACAUGCAAGUCGAGGGGCAGCAUAAUGGAUAGCAAUAUCUAUGGUGGCGACCGGCGCACGGGUGCGUAACGCGUAUGCAACCUACCUUUAACAGGGGGAUAACACUGAGAAAUUGGUACUAAUACCCCAUAACAUCAUGAAAGGCAUCUUUUAUGGUUGAAAAUUCCGAUGGUUAGAGAUGGGCAUGCGUUGUAUUAGCUAGUUGGUGAGGUAACGGCUCACCAAGGCGACGAUACAUAGGGGGACUGAGAGGUUAACCCCCCACACUGGUACUGAGACACGGACCAGACUCCUACGGGAGGCAGCAGUGAGGAAUAUUGGUCAAUGGACGCAAGUCUGAACCAGCCAUGCCGCGUGCAGGAUGACGGCUCUAUGAGUUGUAAACUGCUUUUGUACUAGGGUAAACUCACCUACGUGUAGGUGACUGAAAGUAUAGUACGAAUAAGGAUCGGCUAACUCCGUGCCAGCAGCCGCGGUAAUACGGAGGAUUCAAGCGUUAUCCGGAUUUAUUGGGUUUAAAGGGUGCGUAGGCGGUUUGAUAAGUUAGAGGUGAAAUGUUAGGGCUCAACCCUGAAACUGCCUCUAAUACUGUUGGACUAGAGAGUAGUUGCGGUAGGCGGAAUGUAUGGUGUAGCGGUGAAAUGCUUAGAGAUCAUACAGAACACCGAUUGCGAAGGCAGCUUACCAAACUAUAUCUGACGUUGAGGCACGAAAGCGUGGGGAGCAAACAGGAUUAGAUACCCUGGUAGUCCACGCAGUAAACGAUGAUAACUCGUUGUCGGCGAUACACAGUCGGUGACUAAGCGAAAGCGAUAAGUUAUCCACCUGGGGAGUACGUUCGCAAGAAUGAAACUCAAAGGAAUUGACGGGGGCCCGCACAAGCGGAGGAACAUGUG